rnacentral:lncRNA from 1 species
UCCCUAUAAAUCUUUAUACCAAGAAUAUAGGAAGCUUCUCCUAGAUCUUUCAUGAGAAUAUCAUUCUCAAUCAGGAGGAUGUCAUCCACGUACAAUACAAAAAAUAUGAUAGCACUCCUACUGAUCUUUUUGUACACCACGGCUCCUCUUCAUUUUUGAUAAAAUCAAAUGUUUUGAUUACAUCAUUAAAAUAAGUGUUCUAACUUCGAAAUGCUUGUUUGAGUC